rnacentral:rRNA from 1 species
CAGUCGCCGCGGGAAAACGUAGGUGGCAAGCGUUGUCCGGAAUUAUUGGGCGUAAAGGGCUCGCAGGCGGUUUCUUAGGUCUGAUGUGAAAGCCCCCGGCUCAACCGGGGAGGGUCAUUGGAAACUGGGAAACUUGAGUGCAGAAGAGGAGAGUGGAAUUCCACGUGUAGCGGUGAAAUGCGUAGAGAUGUGGAGGAACACCAGUGGCGAAGGCGACUCUCUGGUCUGUAACUGACGCUGAGGAGCGAAAGCGUGGGGAGCGAACAGGAUUAGAUACCCCCGUAGUCCCUGUCUCUUAUAC